CCUUCAAGUUCUUUUGGUGAGUACCUUUAGCCACCAAGCCAUGUCCCCGGCUUAUAAUUUGUUUCAACAGUCUGGUGCACUACCUCGAUGGGAAUCAACAUUUGCUCAUUCACGCUGGCCUGGUGUCCUCCCCACUGUAUGUACUGGCCCUUGAGUCUCUGAAGAACCAACUUGAAGUCUCCAAAGAGUGAUGGGCCUGAGGAUACGUGUGAGGAGAAAAAAGUAUUUUCUUUUCCGGAAUGUGGCUGUUCUCAGAGUGAAAAACUGAUCCAAAGCCCUCAUGCAUAAUGGAGGUCAACGGCUGACAAGCACCAGCCAUCUUCUGUCUGUCUCCACAUCGCCAGCACUGAGGGACCCCGUUGACUGACUGAGCUGGCUUGGUCACCCACCUUGCAACCAAUGAUCAUCUUGUCUUGGUUUCCCAAGUGUUGGGAUUACAAAUGUAAGCCAUGACGCCUGGUGAGACUUUCCUUUUAAAACAAAUUGAAGACAGAGCCUUGUUAGUCAGGCAGCUCUGUUAACACCUGGCUACCUUGUAAGCUCGUCCCCCCACCCCAACCCUGCAUCU